GAGUAAAAAAGUUUCACGCUGAACUCGUAUAAAAGCAUGCAGUCGUUUAUCACAAAGUUUUUUUAAUCAGUUAAGUCAUGAAUCUAAACCUGACGUUGAUGUUCACAGGUGUGGUCAGGUGUUGUCAGGUGUUGUCAGGUGUCUCCAGGUGUCUCCAGGUGUUGUCAGGUGUCUCCAGGUAUUGUCAGGUGUUGUCAGGUGUCUCCAGGUAUUGUCAGGUGUUGUCAGGUAUCUUCAGGUGUCUCCAGGUGUUGUCAGGUGUCAUCGAGUGUCUUCAGGUGUCCUCAGGUGUCUUCAGGUGUCCUCAGGUGUCUCCAGGUGUCCUCAGGUGUCUCCAGG